rnacentral:siRNA from 1 species
CGGUCGUCCUUACGCUAUUAUCUC